GACGAACGCUGGCGGCGUGCUUAACACAUGCAAGUCGAACGGAAAGGCCCUGCUUUUGUGGGGUGCUCGAGUGGCGAACGGGUGAGUAACACGUGAGUAACCUGCCCUUGACUUUGGGAUAACUUCAGGAAACUGGGGCUAAUACCGGAUAGGAGCUCCUGCUGCAUGGUGGGGGUUGGAAAGUUUCGGCGGUUGGGGAUGGACUCGCGGCUUAUCAGCUUGUUGGUGGGGUAGUGGCUUACCAAGGCUUUGACGGGUAGCCGGCCUGAGAGGGUGACCGGCCACAUUGGGACUGAGAUACGGCCCAGACUCCUACGGGAGGCAGCAGUGGGGAAUAUUGCACAAUGGGCGGAAGCCUGAUGCAGCAACGCCGCGUGCGGGAUGACGGCCUUCGGGUUGUAAACCGCUUUCGCCUGUGACGAAGCGUGAGUGACGGUAAUGGGUAAAGAAGCACCGGCUAACUACGUGCCAGCAGCCGCGGUGAUACGUAGGGUGCGAGCGUUGUCCGGAUUUAUUGGGCGUAAAGGGCUCGUAGGUGGUUGAUCGCGUCGGAAGUGUAAUCUUGGGGCUUAACCCUGAGCGUGCUUUCGAUACGGGUUGACUUGAGGAAGGUAGGGGAGAAUGGAAUUCCUGGUGGAGCGGUGGAAUGCGCAGAUAUCAGGAGGAACACCAGUGGCGAAGGCGGUUCUCUGGGCCUUUCCUGACGCUGAGGAGCGAAAGCGUGGGGAGCGAACAGGCUUAGAUACCCUGGUAGUCCACGCUGUAAACGGUGGGUACUAGGUGUGGGGUCCAUUCCACGGGUUCCGUGCCGUAGCUAACGCUUUAAGUACCCCGCCUGGGGAGUACGGCCGCAAGGCUAAAACUCAAAGGAAUUGACGGGGCCCCGCACAAGCGGCGGAGCAUGCGGAUUAAUUCGAUGCAACGCGUAGAACCUUACCUGGGUUUGACAUGGAUCGGGAGUGCUCAGAGAUGGGUGUGCCUCUUUUGGGGUCGGUUCACAGGUGGUGCAUGGCUGUCGUCAGCUCGUGUCGUGAGAUGUUGGGUUAAGUCCCGCAACGAGUGCAACCCUUGUUCACUGUUGCCAGCACGUUAUGGUGGGGACUCAGUGGAGACCGCCGGGGUCAACUCGGAGGAAGGUGGGGAUGACGUCAAGUCAUCAUGCCCCUUAUGUCCAGGGCUUCACGCAUGCUACAAUGGCUGGUACAGAGAGUGGCGAGCCUGUGAGGGUGAGCGAAUCUCGGAAAGCCGGUCUCAGUUCGGAUUGGGGUCUGCAACUCGACCUCAUGAAGUCGGAGUCGCUAGUAAUCGCAGAUCAGCAACGCUGCGGUGAAUACGUUCCCGGG
rnacentral:rRNA from 1 species